UCAUUGUGAUUCUUUAAAACACAGAUUUGAUUUUGUUAAUUUUGCAAUUCUUGACAGAGAGGAUAAUUACAAAAAACGUUUAAUAUCAGAAAUGAUUUAUAUUAAUUUACAAAUUAACCCGAUUAAUAAAAGGGAUGACAUACAAAAUCUUAAUAAUUAUUAUACACACUUUCUCAAUGAAAAUAAAUACUCGUAAUCUUGUCAUAUUUUGAUGCUCUGACAUUUCUCUUAUUACCUAAUUUCUCUGUUUACUGAAAUGUCGUUGACCCUUCAUCGUCGAUUCUUUUCUUGUAUAUGUCUACUUCUUAAUAUUUUGUUUGCUCAGUGUCACAUUUCGCUUAUAGCGUGUAGGACGUUAUUUCAAUAAUGUGAACGCGUAAAUAUAUUCUUUUUUCUGUUUCUGAUGAGGACGGCAGCGCUGUCGAAACGUAAAAAGAGAGUUUUUUAAUUUUUAACUUCCUUGACUCAGUGUGAUCGAUUACAUCAAAUUCUUACUAUUUAAUACGACUGAGUGA